UACGUAGGGUGCAAGCGUUGUCCGGAAUUAUUGGGCGUAAAGAGCUCGUAGGCGGUCUGUCGCGUCGGCUGUGAAAUCCCGAGGCUCAACCUCGGGUCUGCAGUCGAUACGGGCAAACUUGAGUGUUGCAGGGGAGACUGGAAUUCCUGGUGUAGCGGUGAAAUGCGCAGAUAUCAGGAGGAACACCGGUGGCGAAAGCGACUCUCUGGACGGCAACUGACGCUGAGGCACGAAAGCGUGGGGAGCAAACAGG
rnacentral:rRNA from 1 species